GGGUACUCUUAUGGCGCAUAGGGGUGCCAUUGUGAUGUCCUAAGAAGAAUGUUGGUGUAAAAUUCUACCGAUGUCGGAGAAGCUGGAGUCGAGGGGAUCGCGUCCGCCGUCGGGACCUGCAAGGACAGUCUAAAUCGGAGUUUGCGGUGCUCCAUCAAGACCUUUCAACGCUCAAGUCAGUACUCUGCCUCAACAGAAAUGGAGCACUCAAAUGGAAUUUUAGCAGGGUUUCAAGAUAGAGUUUAGAGCUUAGAGAUGAACGUAUCUGGGGGUCCCUUUUUAUAGAUGGAGAGUGUAACUGAUUGACAGUGACGUCUGUAACUGCCUGGUAGUGGGCCGUUCGGGGCCACACGGAGUUUAUUACGGAGAGUAGUAGCGUCAGGGAGCCGUUCAGGGCCACGUGGAGUUUGUUAUGGAGAGUGGAGUGGUGUCCGUUGUCGCGACUUGCCAGAGAGAGGUGGGGCCAUGUGAAAUCUGUCACAGAGAGUGGAUUGGGGUAGUGGCCAUUAUCGUGACUUACCAGAGAGUUCGAACCUGACGGCUGAAGCUCGGCUGGAACGUCUGAUGGAGCAGAAUGGCUCUCUAUCUUUGCAAUCUAAGAGAAGCUCAGAUAUUUUCUGAGGUUGCUGAUGAGUCCACUGUUGUUGGGUGCCUUGGACGCUGAUGCUGCAGGCGAAAGUCAUCUGCUGUAGAAGCUCGGAUGGGGACUUUCUGUUGG
rnacentral:lncRNA from 1 species